UGGCCUCAAGCAAUCCUCCUGCCUUGGCCUCCCAAAGUGCUGGGAUCACAGGGAGCCACCAUACUCAGCCUGAUGACUUCUUGAAUUUCAGAAACACGUAAGGCUUCUGGACUGAAGUAGAAAGCUAUUCCCUGGGCCUGCAGGAUGGCAUCUGAAGUGAAGAGGCUAGCAUCUGGACUGGUUUGCAGGGCCAAAAACGUUCUCAUUUUCCAUCUUCACUGAUUGACUUGGAAGAAAUCUAUGUAGAGGAGUAUGAAUUUUUUCUUAGCUCUGCCAGUUUAAUCAACAGCUCUAGACCAAAGCCAACUACCACCUCCUCCCUACCUUUGAAGUUGGCUUUGGAGUUGCACAUGCUAUUCAUGAUAAAGAGGCGCACUGAAGACUCUUUUCUUUAUAUCCGGGAUUAUUCAAGUCAACUGUCACCCCAGCCGAGUGGAUUAGUCACUGGGGUUACCUUGCACCAUGGUUACACUUGCAGGCCGUGUGCUAUAGUCCCACAGCACUGACAGGGUGAAGCCGUGGGGACCAACAUCGACACUGUAUAAAGUUGUCAGGAGACAAACGAGAUUUUAUAGCUGCAUUUUGAUUUAUUAUUUAAUUAUGCAUUGCUAUUUUAAACAAAUUGUGUUUGGCUUUAAAUAUCAGAGAUGAAACAGGUUAAAGUAAUAAAAUAUGGCUAAGAUCUGUAGACAGACUAUAAAAAUUACAAAGGAAGAAACAAACUAAUUUAGUUAUAAAGCACUACUAUAAAAAGCUUCCUUUGUAAAAAGCCGUUUGCUUUCUGGUAGCUCUAGAUCACAAAUUAUAUCGUGGUUCUAGUUCAGAGGUCUAGUCAGCAAAUGUUUUCUAUCAAAUAGGCGGUAAGUUAGGCUUUGUGGGCCAUACAAUCUCUGCCGCAAUUACUCAGCACUGCUGUUGUACCUUGAAAAUAGCCAUACAUGAAACGUAUACACACCGGCUUGGCUGUGUGCUAAUAAAACUUAUUUGCCAAAACAGGUGGCAGGCUGGCUUUGAAGAGAGGGCCCUAGUUUGCUAAUCUCUCUUCUGUGCCAGCGCUGUCCAAUAGAAAUACAUUGUAGGCUGGGCUUGGUGGCUCAUGCCUGUAAUCUGAGUACUUUGGGAGGCAGAGG